rnacentral:rRNA from 1 species
UGGGGAAUCUUGCACAAUGGAGGAAACUCUGAUGCAGCGAUGCCGCGUGAGUGAAGAAGGCCUUUGGGUUGUAAAGCUCUUUCGUCGGGGAAGAAAAUGACUGUACCCGAAUAAGAAGGUCCGGCUAACUUCGUGCCAGCAGCCGCGGUAAUACGAAGGGACCUAGCGUAGUUCGGAAUUACUGGGCUUAAAGAGUUCGUAGGUGGUUGAAAAAGUUGGUGGUGAAAUCCCAGAGCUUAACUCUGGAACUGCCAUCAAAACUUUUCAGCUAGAGUAUGAUAGAGGAAAGCAGAAUUUCUAGUGUAGAGGUGAAAUUCGUAGAUAUUAGAAAGAAUACCAAUUGCGAAGGCAGCUUUCUGGAUCAUUACUGACACUGAGGAACGAAAGCAUGGGUAGCGAAGAGGAUUAGAUACCCUCGUAGUCCAUGCCGUAAACGAUGUGUGUUAGACGUUGGAAAUUUAUUUUCAGUGUCGCAGGGAAACCGAUAAACACACCGCCUGGGGAGUACGACCGCAAGGUUA